AUUUUAAUGGCUGCAGUAUAACUAACUGUACAAAGGUAGCAUAAUCAAUUGGUUUUUAAAUGAAAUCUGGAAUGAAAGGAUUAAUGAAAUAUAUACUGUCUCAUAUUUAUUUUAUGAAUUUAAAAUUUUAAUAAAAAUGUUAAAAUUUAUUUAUGGGACGAUAAGACCCUAUAGAAUUUUAUAUUAAAUUAAUUUUAUAAUUAAAUAUAAAAUUUAAUUUAAUAUUUAAUUGGGAGAAUUAUUAAAUUUAAUAAAUUUUAAUUAAUAAAAACUUUAAUUAAAGAAAAUUUAUUGAUUUUUAAUUUAAAAUUAACAGAUUAAAUUACCUUAGGGAUAACAGCGUAAUAUUUUUUUAUAGAUCUUAUAGAAAAAAAUGAUUGCGACCUCGAUGUUGAAUUAAGAUAAAUUUUAAAUGCAG
rnacentral:rRNA from 1 species